AAUAUUUGACGCCGUUGAUUUUUUGACACACGUUUGACCGUUCGUCUUAUUCAAAAAUUUUAUGUAAUUAUUAAUUCUUUUCCUAUCAUUUGAUACCUUGUUGAAUAUACUUUUGUUCAAACAUAUCGUUUUAUAUAUUUCACAAAUUUUUUUGAAUAAGAUGAAUGGUCAAACGUGUCUCAAAAAGUCAACGGCGUCAAAAAUA
rnacentral:pre_miRNA from 1 species